GGCGAUCAGAUACCGCCCUAGUUCUAACCGUAAACGAUGACAACCAGCGAUUAAUCGGCGUUAAUUUAUGACCCGAUUAGCAGCUUCCGGGAAACCAAAGUUUUUCGUUUCCGGGGGAAGUAUGGUUGCAAAGCUGAAACUUAAAGGAAUUGACGGAAGGGCACCACCAGGAGUGGAGCCUGCGGCUUAAUUUGACUCAACACGGGAAAACUCACCCGGCCCGGACACCGUAAGGAUUGACAGACUGAGAGCUCUUUCUUAAUUCGGUGGGUGGUGGUGCAUGGCCGUUCUUAGUUGGUGGAGCGAUUUGUCUGGUUAAUUCCGAUAACGAACGAGACUCUGGCCUAUUAAAUAGACGUCGUAUUAAAAAGUACGUCGUACUUCUUAGAGGGACAAGCGGCGUUUAGCCGCGUGAAAUAGAGCAAUAACAGGUCUGUGAUGCCCUUAGAUGUCCGGGGCUGCACGCGCGCUACACUGAAAGAAUCAGAGAGCGCUAACGCCUGGUUCGGAAGAACCGGGUAACCCAAGUAAAUUCUUUCGUGCUUGGGAUAGGGAAUUGCAAUUAUUUCCCUUAAACGAGGAAUUCCCAGUAAAUGCGGGUCAUAAGCUCGCGUUGAUUACGUCCCUGCCCUUUGUA
rnacentral:rRNA from 1 species